GUAUAUUUUUCAUUACAUAUUUGAUUUAAUCAGGCAAAAAAUAGCCUACAUGGAAAUUUUCAACAAACCGUAAAUACGGGAUCAAAACUAUAAAUUGUUUGCCCUUAAGCAAAGGACACAGAAGGAUUCAUGACAAAAUUGUGUUUUGGUGUUGGUGAUGCGUUUGUAGAUCUUAUUUUACUGAACAAUCUUGCUGCUUAAUUACAAUUAUCUCUACCUAUAAUGAAAGUGAUAGUGGGAAAUAUUUUGAAAAAAUUUACAAAAAUUUACAAAAUUUAUGAAAAUUGUUAAAAAUUGACUAUAAAGGGUAAUUACUCCUUAAGGGGUCAAUUGAACACUUUGGUCAUGUUGACCUAUUUGUAGCUCUUACUUUCCUUUACAUUAUUGCUGUUUACAGUUUAUUUCUAUCUAU
rnacentral:lncRNA from 1 species